rnacentral:misc_RNA from 1 species
GAUGAAGAACGUAGCGAAAUGCGAUACUUGGUGUGAAUUGCAGAAUCCCGUGAACCAUCGAGUCUUUGAACGCAAGUUGCGCCCGAAGCCAUUAGGCCGAGGGCACGCCUGCCGGGGCGUCACACGUCGUUGCCCCCCCAUCUACUCCUUCGGGAUUGCGGGGGGCGGAUGAUGGCCUCUCGUGCGCCUCGUCGCGCGGUUGGCCUAAAUGCCAAGUCCUCGGCGACGCACGCCACGACAAUCGGUGGUUGCGAAACCUCGGUUGCCUGUCGUGUGCGGUCGUCGCGCAUCGAGGGCUCGAAAAAAUUGCCGGGCUUCGGCUCGACUUUCAACGCGACCCCAGGUCAGGCGGGGUUACCCGCUGAAUUUAAACAUAUCAAUAAGCGGAGGA